rfam:Schistosoma haematobium scaffold90_20, whole genome shotgun sequence.
AUCCAGCUGACGAGUCUCAAAUAGGACGAAAUGCGCGUCCUGGAU